rnacentral:lncRNA from 1 species
GGGCUACAGUUGCAGCACAUAGAGGGAGUAGCAAGCCCUUAUCCCUGUGCUGUCUGGUGCAGGGAAUGCACACCAUCAGUGACAUCCAACAGUGCACAGAUGAAAGGAGAAACAGGGAGUAUGUGGCCACCCCUCCUUGUAGUGGUGCUAGAGCAGGUGGAAGCCAGAGACGGAUAGACAAGCUCUAAGUUCCAGAGCAAGGAUUCUUAA